CAGCAGCCACGGUAAUACGUAGGUCCCGAGCGUUGUCCGGAUUUAUGGGGCGUAAAGCGAGCGCAGGCGGUUAGAUAAGUCUGAAGUUAAAGGCUGUGGCUUAACCAUAGUACGCUUUGGAAACUGUUUAACUUGAGUGCAAGAGGGGAGAGUGGAAUUCCAUGUGUAGCGGUGAAAUGCGUAGAGAUGUGGAGGAACACCAGUGGCGAAAGCGGCUCUCUGGCUUGUAACUGACGCUGAGGCUCGGAAGCGUGGGGAGCAAACAGGAUUAGAUACCCGCGUAGUCCCUGUCUCUUAUACA
rnacentral:rRNA from 1 species